GACGAACCGUACGAACGUUAUUCGGAAUCACUGGGCUUAAAGGGUGCGUAGGUUGCGCAGCAAGUUGGGUGUGAAAUCCCUCGGCUUAACCGAGGAACUGCGCCCAAAACUGCUGUGCUCGAGGGAGAUAGAGGUGAGCGGAACUUAGGGUGGAGCGGUGAAAUGCGUUGAUAUCCUAAGGAACACCGGUGGCGAAAGCGGCUCACUGGAUCUCUUCUGACGCUGAGGCACGAAAGCUAGGGUAGCGAACGGG
rnacentral:rRNA from 1 species